CGCCCUUAGAGUUUGAUCCUGGCUCAAGAUGAACGCUAGCUACAGGCUUAACACAUGCAAGUCGAGGGGCAGCAUGGUCUUAUCUUGCUAAGGCCGAUGGCGACCGGCGCACGGGUGAGUAACACGUAUCCAACCUGCCGUCUACUCUUGGACAGCCUUCUGAAAGGAAGAUUAAUACAAGAUGGCAUCAUGACUCCGCAUGUUCACAUGAUUAAAGGUAUUCCGGUAGACGAUGGGGAUGCGUUCUAUUAGAUAGUAGGCGGGGUAACGGCCCACCUAGUCUUCGAUGGAUAGGGGUUCUGAGAGGAAGGUCCCCCACAUUGGAACUGAGACACGGUCCAAACUCCUACGGGAGGCAGCAGUGAGGAAUAUUGGUCAAUGGGCGCAGGCCUGAACCAGCCAAGUAGCGUGAAGGAUGACUGCCCUAUGGGUUGUAAACUUCUUUUAUAAAGGAAUAAAGUCGGGUAUGGAUACCCGUUUGCAUGUACUUUAUGAAUAAGGAUCGGCUAACUCCGUGCCAGCAGCCGCGGUAAUACGGAGGAUCCGAGCGUUAUCCGGAUUUAUUGGGUUUAAAGGGAGCGUAGAUGGAUGUUUAAGUCAGUUGUGAAAGUUUGCGGCUCAACCGUAAAAUUGCAGUUGAUACUGGAUAUCUUGAGUGCAGUUGAGGCAGGCGGAAUUCGUGGUGUAGCGGUGAAAUGCUUAGAUAUCACGAAGAACUCCGAUUGCGAAGGCAGCCUGCUAAGCUGCAACUGACAUUGAGGCUCGAAAGUGUGGGUAUCAAACAGGCUUAGAUACCCUGGUAGUCCACACGGUAAACGAUGAAUACUCGCUGUUUGCGAUAUACGGCAAGCGGCCAAGCGAAAGCGUUAAGUAUUCCACCUGGGGAGUACGCCGGCAACGGUGAAACUCAAAGGAAUUGACGGGGGCCCGCACAAGCGGAGGAACAUGUGGUUUAAUUCGAUGAUACGCGAGGAACCUUACCCGGGCUUAAAUUGCAGAUGAAUUACGGUGAAAGCCGUAAGCCGCAAGGCAUCUGUGAAGGUGCUGCAUGGUUGUCGUCAGCUCGUGCCGUGAGGUGUCGGCUUAAGUGCCAUAACGAGCGCAACCCUUGUUGUCAGUUACUAACAGGUUCUGCUGAGGACUCUGACAAGACUGCCAUCGUAAGAUGUGAGGAAGGUGGGGAUGACGUCAAAUCAGCACGGCCCUUACGUCCGGGGCUACACACGUGUUACAAUGGGGGGUACAGAGGGCCGCUACCACGCGAGUGGAUGCCAAUCCCAAAAACCUCUCUCAGUUCGGACUGGAGUCUGCAACCCGACUCCACGAAGCUGGAUUCGCUAGUAAUCGCGCAUCAGCCACGGCGCGGUGAAUACGUUCCCGGGCCUUGCACACAGCGCCCGUC
rnacentral:rRNA from 1 species